rnacentral:rRNA from 1 species
GACGAACGCUGGCGGCGUGCUUAACACAUGCAAGUCGAGCGGAAAGGCCCUUCGGGGUACUCGAGCGGCGAACGGGUGAGUAACACGUGAGUAACCUGCCCCAGACUUUGGGAUAACCCUCGGAAACGGGGGCUAAUACCGGAUACGACACAGCUUCGCAUGGGGUCUGUGUGGAAAGUUUUUCGGUUUGGGAUGGGCUCGCGGCCUAUCAGCUUGUUGGUGGGGUGAUGGCCUACCAAGGCGACGACGGGUAGCCGGCCUGAGAGGGCGACCGGCCACACUGGGACUGAGGCACGGCCCAGACUCCUACGGGAGGCAGAAGUGGGGAAUAUUGCACAAUGGGCGGAAGCCUGAUGCAGCGACGCCGGGUGAGGGAUGACGGCCUUCGGGUUGUAAACCUCUUUCAGCAGGGACGAAGCGUAAGUGACGGUACCUGCAGAAGAAGCGCCGGCCAACUACGUG